rnacentral:rRNA from 1 species
GGAGUUAUGAAAUGCAGAUUGGUUAAUACCCAACCUGUUUGACAAAGGCCCCAAAGGAAGCCACGGCUAACUCUGUGCCAGCAGCCGCGGUAAUACAGAGGUGGCAAGCGUUGUUCGGUAUUAUUGGGCGUAAAGAGCACGUAGGUGGUUUUGUAAGUCAGAUGUGAAAGCCUUCUGUUCAAAGGAAGAACGGCAUCUGAAACUGCAGAUCUUGAGUGUAGGAGGGGAGAGUGGAACUUCUG